rnacentral:misc_RNA from 1 species
CAACCCUCAGGCCCCCUUUAUAUGGCCUGGCGUUGGGAUAUCUACAGUUAAUCGCAGGCCUUGAAAGAGAGUAGCGGCGCCCGCUAACACUUUGAGCGUAGUAGAUGUCUUUCUCGUCUAAGACGUCUGGUGGGCCGCCGGCCGUAAAACAGCCCCUAGCCAUCGCAA